rnacentral:rRNA from 1 species
UUAUGAAAUACCAAAGUCAAAAAAUACGAACCAUUGUUUAAAACUUAAAGAUUUUGGCGGUGUCUUAUCAGACCAGGGGAACCUGUCUCCUAACUCGAUACUCCACGAUAACCUUACCCUUUCUCGACUAGCCAGCUUGUGUACUGCCGUCGUAAGCACACCUCUAAAAGCCUGUUGAGUGCGCAAUUAUGAUAGCCCUCAUUUACGUCAGGUCAAAGUGCAGCCUAUGACAGGGGGACGAUGGGUUACAAACUAAAUAUAGAUGCCAAUAAGAGCUGUAAAACCUCUAUAAAGAUGGACUUGGGUGUAAUAGUAAUCCAACAUUAUAAUGAAACUGAAUCUAAGACAUGUACACAUCGCCCGUCACUCUCGCCCAAAGGUG